rnacentral:lncRNA from 1 species
UCGUUUUCUUGAGAUCGGCAUGAUGCUUUGGUACUUUUGGCUGUUGUGUGAGAUUAAAGUCUCUCUACCUGAUGACUUGAGCUCCUUUGGGAGGUCGGAGUUUAGCUUUUUCAUUUAUGGUCCCGUGCCCCAAUCUUUUAUGUGAGAUCAGAAUUAUGUUCUUUAUGAGUUGUUUUUGCUUGUUGCACCGGAUGAUCUUGGGGAUUCUGGCUAUUUUUGCUCCGGGAGAUCUUUGAGAUCUUUGCCGGUCUUCUACCUCAGUGAGGUCUUCUGCCUCAUUGAGGUCUUCUGCCUCAGUGAGGUUUUUUGCCUCUUUGAGGUCUUCUGCCUCUUUUAGGUCUUCUGCCUCUUUGAGGUCUUCUGCCUUAUUGAGGUCUUCUGCCUCUUUN